GUUUGUAAAGAAGCAAACAGCUGACACUGUAAUUUUUCAGAGGGAGGAGUUUUGGAACAGCCAGCAUGAACGGUUGUCGUAUCUAGGUCAAAUAUGUCAAUUUCGGAAUACAAAACAUUACAGUCAUAAUAAAUGAAUUAGUAACAACAUGUGCAUCAUUUAAGAGUUUGGAAGUGUUUUAAGUUUAUGAAAUAUAUUAAAUGCAUGCUAAUUUGAUGAAAUUCAUUAUUUUGCUG
rnacentral:lncRNA from 1 species